GACGAACGCUGGCGGCACGCCUAACACAUGCAAGUCGAACGCGCCCUUCGGGGCGAGUGGCGGACGGGUGAGUAACGCGUGGGAACCUGCCCCGUGGUGGGGGACAACCCAGGGAAACUUGGGCUAAUACCGCAUAAGCCCAGCUUCUUUGGAGGAAGUUGGGGAAAGAUUUAUCGCCACGGGAUGGGCCCGCGUCGGAUUAGGUAGUUGGUGGGGUAACGGCCCACCAAGCCUGCGAUCCGUAGCUGGUCUGAGAGGACGAUCAGCCACACUGGGACUGAGACACGGCCCAGACUCCUACGGGAGGCAGCAGUGGGGAAUCUUGGACAAUGGGGAAACCCUGAUCCAGCGAUGCCGCGUGAGCGAAGAAGGCCUUAGGGUUGUAAAGCUCUUUCGCCCGCGACGAUAAUGACGGUAGCGGGAGAAGAAGCCCCGGCUAACUCCGUGCCAGCCGCCGCGGUAAU
rnacentral:rRNA from 1 species